AUGCUUGCACAUACCAGAAUACCAGCACAUACCAGAAUACCAGAGAGAAGAUGCGCACGGCCCCUGAGCAAGUAUGACACGAAAACCUGGGAAGCGUUCCAUGCUUUU